rnacentral:rRNA from 2 species
AGUCGAGCGGAUUGAUGGGAGCUUGCUCCCAUCAGUCAGCGGCGGACGGGUGAGUAACACGUGGGUAACCUGCCUGUAAGACUGGGAUAACUCCGGGAAACCGGGGCUAAUACCGGAUAACUCAUUUCCUCGCAUGAGGAAAUGUUGAAAGGUGGCUUUUAGCUAUCACUUACAGAUGGACCCGCGGCGCAUUAGCUAGUUGGUGAGGUAACGGCUCACCAAGGCGACGAUGCGUAGCCGACCUGAGAGGGUGAUCGGCCACACUGGGACUGAGACACGGCCCAGACUCCUACGGGAGGCAGCAGUAGGGAAUCUUCCGCAAUGGACGAAAGUCUGACGGAGCAACGCCGCGUGAGUGAUGAAGGUUUUCGGAUCGUAAAACUCUGUUGUUAGGGAAGAACAAGUACCGUUCGAAUAGGGCGGUACCUUGACGGUACCUAACCAGAAAGCCACGGCUAACUACGUGCCAGCAGCCGCGGUAAUACGUAGGUGGCAAGCGUUGUCCGGAAUUAUUGGGCGUAAAGCGCGCGCAGGUGGUUCCUUAAGUCUGAUGUGAAAGCCCACGGCUCAACCGUGGAGGGUCAUUGGAAA